rnacentral:rRNA from 1 species
UAGUCGUACCUUCGGGUAAUCAGCCUUUCGGGUGCGAUUCUGUGGAGUGUGAGGAGCUUAAACACCUUCAUGUUUUGCAUAUUCGUACUCUUGGGUGUACUUGCCCGUGUGGUUGGUUAACAUCAAUUUUGGUGGUCAUAAAAUGACUGGAGGAAUGUAGCUUCAAUCUUGUAUUGAAGUGUUAUAGCCUUCGGUAGAUGUGAUGAUCGAGAUUGAGGAUUGCAACGGAUACCCUUCGGGGCUACCUGUCUGGUCUCUGAUCGUUGCUCUGGUGCCGAAAGCUUGCUUACGGUUAUCAAAGUCGAUGGUCAAUAGGUUAGAAUGGGUUAAA